rnacentral:rRNA from 1 species
UUUCCGUAGGUGAACCUGCGGAAGGAUCAUUAAUAGUGCCCUCUGAUGCAAAUCAUUGGGUUAGAUCUGCUCUCUUCGCAAGAAGAGGGUUUCCAUACACACCGUGAACUGUGGCUUCGGCCAUCACAAACUGUUAGUAAUGAAUGUAAUAUCAUAACAAAAACAAAACUUUUAACAACGGAUCUCUUGGCUCUCGCAUCGAUGAAGAACGCAGCGAAAUGCGAUAAGUAAUGUGAAUUGCAGAAUUCAGUGAAUCAUCGAAUCUUUGAACGCACCUUGCGCCCUUUGGUAUUCCGAAGGGCAUGCCUGUUUGAGUGUCAUGAAACCUCACCCCACUUGGGUUUUUGCCUGAGCGGUGGUGUAUUGGGUGUUGCCUUGCUAAAGGCUCGCCUUAAAGACAUAAGCACCUUGGAUGUAAUACGUUUCAUCCUUCUGGGUGGCUGAUAACCCCACAUAUUCAUGAUCUGGCUCAAAAUCAGGUAGGGCUACCCGCUGAACUUAAGCAUAUCAAUAAUAAAGCGGAGGNAA